GCUGCACCACCAGUUCACAGCUGCACAGACACAGAACAGCGUUGGCACAAGCCAAGAACACUUUGGUGUGAAACCAGGUCUGGUUGAUGAGAUAGAGUUCCGUAAACCUACUAACCUACUUGUGCUGACGGAAUAAGAAGUUCUCUCUACAAAGCACUCAAUGGAUACAUGCCUGACAUGGACCUUCUCCUCGUCUCAGAAACGUAUGGCAACUUUUCUCCACUUACUGCCCCUCUUGUGACAACAAUGGAAAUGUCAGCUGCCGU